AAUGAACGUUGGCGGCGUGGAUUAGGCAUGCAAGUCGCGCGAGAAGUCAUUUAGCUUGCUAAAAGACGGACAGCGGCGGAAGGGAGAGUAACGCGUGGUUAUGUACCCUCGAGACCGGGAUAGUGUCGGGAAACUGGCAGUAAUACCGGAUAACAUCUUCGGAUCAAAUGGUGUGAUUCCGCUCGAGGAUCGGACCGCGUACUAUUAGCUAGUUGGAGGGGUAAUGGCCCACCAAGGCUUAGAUGGUUACCGGGUGUGAGAGCAUGGCCCGGCUCACCGGGACUGAGACACUGCCCAGACAUAUACGGAUGGCUGCAGUCGAGAAUCUUCGGCAAUGGACGAAAGUCUGACCGAGCGACGCCGCGUGCGGGAUGAAGGCCUUCGGGUUGUAAACCGCUGUCAGUUAGGAGGAAAUCCAUGAGGGUUCUCUCUCAUGGUUGACCGAUUUUCAGAGGAAGGACGGGCUAAGUUCGUGCCAGCAGCCGCCGUAAUAC
rnacentral:rRNA from 1 species